CUCAUGGUUUCACGGUAUUGCAAUGAGAACAAUUUAAAACCCUUAGCGAGAAUCAAGUGGAGGACAAGUCUGGUGCCAGCACCCGCGGUAAUUCCAGCUCCACUAGCGUAUAUUAAAGUUGUUGCAGUUAAAAAGCUCGUAGUUGAACCUCUGUCUGGGGCUAGUUUUGGCUUUGGUCAGGCUAGUUCUAGGCAUCCGCCUACAAGACUUAGAGGGCAUUCAGUUGUUCACUAGGAGGAGUAGGCAUUUUACUUUGAAAAAAUUAGAGUGUUUAAGGCAGGCAAUCGCCCGCAUAUAUUAGCAUGGAGUAAUAGAAUAGGACACUUUUCCAUUUCGUUGGUUAUUGGAAUCGUGUAAUGAUUAAUAGGGACAGUUGUGGGCAUUUGUAUUUAAUUGUCAGAGGUGAAAUUCUUGGAUUUAUUAAAGACAAACUAACGCGAAAGCAUUUGCCAAGGAUGUUUUCAUUAAUCAAGAACGAAAGUUAGGGGAUCAAAGACGAUCAGAUACCGUCCUAGUCUUAACUAUAAACUAUUCCGACUCAAUGUUUGACUGGCUUAUAUAACCAGUUGAGCGUUGUAUGAGAAAUCAAAGUCUGUAGGUUCUGGGGGGAGUAUGGUUGCAAAGCUGAAACUUAAAGGAAUUGACGGAAGAGCACAACCAGGAGUGGAUUCUGCGGCUUAAUUUGACUCAACACGGGGAAACUUACCAGGUUAAAACAAUAGUGGGAUUGACAGUUUGAGAGCGCUUUCUUGAUUGGUUGGGUGGUGGUGCAUGGCCGUUCUUAGUUGGUGGAGUGAUUUGUCUGCUUAAUUGCGUUAACGAACGAGACCUUGACCUGCUUACUAGACUGGCGAUCAUCAAUCGUUAGCUCUUCUUAGAGGGACUUUGGUUGUUUUAACUCCAAGGAAGUUUGAGGCAAUAACAGGUCUGUGAUGCCCUUAGAUAUCCUGGGCCGCACGCGUCAUACAAUGACUAGUUCAGAAAGUUUUCUCCUGACCCGAAAGGGGAUGGGAAAUCUUGAUAAUACUAGUCGUGUUAGGGAUCGAUCUUUGCAAUUAUAGAUCUUGAACGAGGAAUUCCUAGUAAGUGCGGUUCAUCAGACCGUACUGAUUACGUCCCUGCUCUUUGUACACACCGCCCGUCGCUUCUACCGAGUGGGUGGUCCGGUGAGAUAAUUGAACUUCGCAGGUAACUGAGAGGAAAGAUUAUCAAUCCUAUCCACCU
rnacentral:rRNA from 1 species